rnacentral:rRNA from 1 species
GACGAACGCUGGCGGCGUGCUUAACACAUGCAAGUCGAACGGAAAGGCCUCUUUCGGGGGGUACUCGAGUGGCGAACGGGUGAGUAACACGUGAGUAACCUGCCCUUGACUUUGGGAUAACUUCAGGAAACUGGGGCUAAUACCGGAUAGGAGCUCCUGCUGCAUGGUGGGGGUUGGAAAGUUUCGGCGGUUGGGGAUGGACUCGCGGCUUAUCAGCUUGUUGGUGGGGUAGUGGCUUACCAAGGCUUUGACGGGUAGCCGGCCUGAGAGGGUGACCGGCCACAUUGGGACUGAGAGACGGCCCAGACUCCUACGGGAGGCAGCAGUGGGGAAUAUUGCACCAUGGGUGGAAGCCUGAUGCAGCAACGCCGUGUGCGGGAUGACGGCCUUCGGGUUGUAAACCGCUUUCGCUCAUGACGAAGCUUUGUGUGACGGUAGUGGGUAAAGAAGCACCGGCUAACUACGUG